UUAGCGGCGGACGGGUGAGUAACACGUGGGUAACCUGCCCAUAAGACUGGGAUAACUCCGGGAAACCGGGGCUAAUACCGGAUAACAUUUUGCACCGCAUGGUGCGAAAUUGAAAGGCGGCUUCGGCUGUCACUUAUGGAUGGACCCGCGUCGCAUUAGCUAGUUGGUGAGGUAACGGCUCACCAAGGCAACGAUGCGUAGCCGACCUGAGAGGGUGAUCGGCCACACUGGGACUGAGACACGGCCCACACUCCUACGGGAGGCAGCAGUAGGGAAUCUUCCGCAAUGGACGAAAGUCUGACGGAGCAACGCCGCGUGAGUGAUGAAGGCUUUCGGGUCGUAAAACUCUGUUGUUAGGGAAAAACAAGUGCUAGUUGAAUAAGCUGGCACCUUGACGGUACCUAACCAGAAAGCCACGGCUAACUACGUGCCAGCAGCCGCGGUAAUACGUAGGUGGCAAGCGUUAUCCGGAAUUAUUGGGCGUAAAGCGCGCGCAGGUGGUUUCUUAAGUCUGAUGUGAAAGCCCACGGCUCAACCGUGGAGGGUCAUUGGAAACUGGGAGACUUGAGUGCAGAAGAGGAGAGUGGAAUUCCAUGUGUAGCGGUGAAAUGCGUAGAGAUAUGGAGGAACACCAGUGGCGAAGGCGACUUUCUGGUCUGUAACUGACACUGAGGCGCGAAAGCGUGGGGAGCAAACAGGAUUAGAUACCCUGGGUAGUCCACGCCGUAAACGAUGAGUGCUAAGUGUUAGAGGGUUUCCGCCCUUUAGUGCU
rnacentral:rRNA from 1 species